rnacentral:misc_RNA from 1 species
UAGAAUAAACUUGGUUGGGUUGUUGCUGGCUCCUUGGAGCAUGUGCACGCCUAGCACCAAUUUAUUUACCCCCCUGUGCACUCUUUGUAGAUGAUGGAAUUAUAUAUCUCUCUCGAGGACAACUCGGAUUGAGGUUUGCUGUGCGAAAGUCAGCUUGCCUUGUAUAUUCCUAGUCUACGUUUUUCUUAUAUACUCCAUAUUGAAUGUAUUAGAAUGUAUUAACAGGCCUUUGUGCCUUUAAUCAUAUA